rnacentral:rRNA from 1 species
UACGAGGGGGGCAAGUGUUGUUCGGAAUCACUGGGCGGAAAGGGAGCGUAGGCGGAUGUUUAAGUUGGAUGUUUAAAACCGGGGCCCAACCUCGGAGCGGCAUCCAAAACUGGGCAUCUUGAAUAGGUCAGAGGCUGGUGGAAUUGGAGGUGUAGCGGUGGAAUGCGUAGAGAUCUCCAAGAACACCUAUUGCGAAGGCAGCCAGCUGGGACCAUAUUGACGCUGAGGCUCGAAAGCAUGGGGAGCAAACAGG